rnacentral:rRNA from 1 species
AACGUAGGACGCAAGCGUUAUCCGGAGUUACUGGGCGUAAAGCGCGGGCAGGCGGCUCGAUGCGUCUGAUGUGAAAUCUCCUCGCUCAACGGGGAGAGGCCAUUGGAAACGGUCGAGCUGGAGGGCAGUAGAGGCAGGCGGAAUUCCGGGUGGAGUGGUGAAAUGCGUAGAGAUCCGGAGGAACACCAGCGGCGAAGGCGGCAUCCUGGACUGGUCCUGACACUCAGGAGCGAAAGCGUGGGGAGCGAUCCGG